GAGCGAGCGUGUUGUUUCCUCGAUACUGCUACGUGAAUAAAUCGAUGUCAGUUUUUGCAGGAAGCUGUGCUCAAAGAGGCGAGAUGGGCCACAGAGCCUUGAAGGCAGAGACCUGUGUGACUGUGACCUCCAGAUGGGAGACACUGUUUCUAAGCAAAGGUGGCAAGGAUGCUAUGGAUGAACAAAACAACAGAGAGGAGAGGCACAGCUUAUUCCUGAAUAAUGUGACUGGGAUCCAUUGAUUUUGACAAGAAGGGCACAACAGAUCACCUUACAUGUUUUUUAUGCAAUAACAGUCUGAGAUCAAAUGGAUUAUUCAAAUGGACCUAAACAUCGAAUGCUGUAUUAUUUUCUUUACAUUCUUAUGCUGUUUAUGUUUUUUUAGGACACAAAUCAAGAUGUGACUUUUGAGUGCAACAAAGCCUGAAGUCCGUUUUUACUGUUAAAAUGAUCUGUAAAGGGCUUCUCUGUCCAUCUGCAAGGAGAUGAGUAGUUUUAAAAUUCUUGACUGACACAACAACAUUUCCACAAAUAAAACAGUGAAAAUACUGUAUGGUGAAAUCCUGUAUGUAAUCUAGGCCAAACCUGGGUGUUCCUAACGAGAGUGAAUUCAUGUAUAUUUCUGUGAAUAGAUGUGUGCUAUUCUUGCUAAUGGAUUUGUUUGAAAUGCUUGCCAUGUGUUCUAACCUUAUUUUAAACCCAUGUUGGGACCCCUACAGUACCCAGAAAAGACCACUGAUACACAUGUUUUCUUUGGGACAAGGUGUCAAGCUGGUCAUUGUCUUAUUUUUCACUGAAAGAUUUUAAAUCUGA
rnacentral:lncRNA from 1 species